rnacentral:rRNA from 1 species
AUGAGGGCGGCCAAGCUUCGUGACGUGGAGGUCACUACUGGUAUGUCGAUCAAUACCUCUGAUUCUAUUUUGCAUUUUUCAAAUGAUGAGAUUAUAAACAAUGCAAAUAAGAUAGGAAUUUCACUAGGUAGUAAUUAUAGUGAAAUUUCAAACUCGGUUAAUGAUAUGUUGGAUUUAGAGGCCGAACGGGCGCUUGAGAUGAUUCAUAACUUAGCUGCGGUUAAACCAAUGAAUAACUCCGAGAUUGAUGCUUUGGGGGUUAGGGUGCUCGAUAACUUUUGUGCGGAUCUUGCUCAUCCGUCUCCUGAACCUGAGGAGGAGGAUGAGCGAGCGGACUUUGUAGAGGUGCGCGCCUCUGAGACUGGUAGUGAGGACCAGCUGGAGAGUUUCAAUAUUCCUAAACGCAAAUGGAAGCGGAAGAUCUACCUAGACUCUGCAGUGCAUAGGAGCGCGCGGAUGAGAACGGCUAAAAAAUUCCAUGACGAGAUAUGA